rnacentral:rRNA from 1 species
GACGAAGGGGGCUAGCGUUGUUCGGAAUUACUGGGCGUAAAGCGUGCGCAGGCGGUUGUGCAAGACAGAUGUGAAAUCCCCGGGCUUAACCUGGGAAUUGCAUUUGUGACUGCACGGCUAGAGUGUGUCAGAGGGGGGUAGAAUUCCACGUGUAGCAGUGAAAUGCGUAGAUAUGUGGAGGAAUACCGAUGGCGAAGGCAGCCCCCUGGGAUAACACUGACGCUCAUGCACGAAAGCGUGGGGAGCAAACAGG